GACGAACGCUGGCGGCGUGCUUAACACAUGCAAGUCGUACGGUAAGGCCCUUUUGGGGGUACACGAGUGGCGAACGGGUGAGUAACACGUGAGUAACCUGCCCACAACUUUUGGAUAACGCUAGGAGACUGGUGCUCAUACUGGAUAUGUGCUCCUGCUGCAUGGUGGGGGUUGGGAAGCUCCGGCGGUUGUGGAUGGACUCGCGGCCUAUCAGCUUGUUGGUGGGGUAGUGGCCUACCAAGGCGGCGACGGGUAGCCGGCCUGAGAGGGUGACCGGCCACAUUGGGACUGAGAUACGGCCCAGACUCCUACGGGAGGCAGCAGUGGGGAAUAUUGCACAAUGGGCGCAAGCCUGAUGCAGCAACGCCGCGUGCGGGAUGACGGCCUUCGGGUUGUAAACCGCUUUCAGCAGGGACGAAGCUUUUUGUGACGGUACCUGCAGAAGAAGCACCGGCUAACUACGUG
rnacentral:rRNA from 1 species